CCAAAGUAUGCACUUAACUGUUUGUGAGCCCACCCAAAGAGAGAGUUCCUGUCUUCAACAGUGCCCAAUCUCAAGAUAGACCUUAAUUGACCAGGUGAGGCCAGACAUCAAGACUGGCUGGGAAUUUUAAGAGGGGUGGUUCUACAGGAAGAAGGGCACUCCUACCAGAAGAGGAGGAAGAGAUUCUGAGCAAACCCAGGAAGCAAUUGAAAGAUUCUUCAGCAUCAGGGAUCUUGGAAGAAGAGACAAGGAAAACCAUCUCUUAAAAAUUCCUCUCUAAAGCGGCAUACAGAGGGAAUCCAUUUUGACAGGUGAGUGGUCACAGUCAAAGUCUUUAAUAAGUAGUCAUGUAAAUUAUCUUGUGAGAUA
rnacentral:lncRNA from 1 species